GUCCCCGGCUACUCCAUUUCCAUAGCGGCGGAGCGAUCGUCAAAAAGGAGGAGAACCUACCCGCCAAGCCGGCGGUGCGGCAGUGUGGAGACCUGUCGUAAAGCGUCGGGAGUUUUGCUCUCCCGGCUGCGAGGAUCCUGAGCGGAGGCGCAGGGUCUACGGCUUUGAGUAUG
rnacentral:ncRNA from 1 species